UCGGCGGAUGAGCUGUGGUUAGGGGUGAAAUGCCAAUCGAACUCGGAGCUAGCUGGAUCUCCCCGAAAUGCGUUGAGGCGCAGCGGUUAACGACGGGCUGCCUAGGGGUAAAGCACUGUUUCGGUGCGGGCUGCGAGAGCGGUACCAAAUCGUAGCAAACUAAGAAUACUAGGCGUAUAACCAGUGAGAGAUUUUUGUAAUAAAUCUAAAGGCUUUCCGUUAACCAGUGAGACGGUGGGGGAUAAGCUCCAUCGUCGAAAGGGAAACAGCCCAGAUCACCAGUUAAGGCCCCAAAAUGACCGCUAAGUGGCAAAGGAGGUAGGAAUGCUGAAACAACCAGGAGGUUUGCCUAGCAGCAGCCAUCCUUUAAAGAGUGCGUAAUAGCUCACUGGUAGAGCGUUCUUGCGCCGAAAAUGAACGGGACUAAGCGGUCUGCCGAAGCUGUGGGUAAAGUUUAUUAAAAGGUAUAUAAAUUCAUUCAUAUAAAUCUGGUAAAUCUGUGCUUUUUUAUAGAUUAGAAAAAGCUUUUUGUGCGUUUAAAUCUUAUACCUUUUUUUGAUUUUACGGUAGGGGAGCGUUCCGCUCUAGGGUGAAGCUCCAACGUAAGUUGGUGUGGACAAAGCGGAAGUGAGAAUGUCGGCUUGAGUAACGAAAACAUUGGUGAGAAUCCAAUGCCCCGAAAACCUAAGGCUUCCUCCACAAGGCUCGUCCAUGGGGGGUUAGUCGGGACCUAAGGUGAGGCCGAAAGGCGUAGUCGAUGGAAAACAGGUUAAUAUUCCUGUACUAAUUUUUUAGUGGUACCGAGGGACGAAGAAGGGAACAGUUGGUCAAUAUUGGAUGUUGGCGGAAACGUUCAAAGUGAUGAAAGAUAGAAAAAAAACUUUUCUUGAACUGAGGCGUAACACGGUUUGAUUCCCUGAACCAUAACAUUGUUCAAAAUGAAACUCAACUAGUUGUCAUACUUCCUAGAAAAGCUUGAACUUCCAAUACUAAAAAAUUACCCGUACCCGAAACCGACACAGGUAGGUUGGUAGAGUAUACCAAGGGGCGCGAGAUAACUCUCUCUAAGGAACUCGGCAAAAUGGCCCCGUAACUUCGGGAGAAGGGGCGCCCUUUAUUAUUAUUUAAUAUAAGAAAAGGGCCGCAGUGACCAGGCCCAGGCGACUGUUUACCAAAAACACAGGUCUCCGCUAAGUCGUAAGACAAUGUAUGGGGGCUGACGCCUGCCCAGUGCCGGAAGGUAAAGGAAGUUUGUUAUCUACCCUUUUUUUAAAGGGUAGAAAAAAGCUUACAACCGAAGCCCCGGUGAACGGCGGCUGUAACUAUGACAGUCCUAAGGUAGCGAAAUUCCUUGUCAGGUAAGUUCUGACGUGCACGAAAGGUGUAACGAUCUGGGCGCUGUCUCGGAGAGAGGCUCGGUGAAAUAGACAUGUCUGUGAAGAUGCGGACUACCUACACCUGGACAGAAAGACCCUAUGAAGCUUUACUGUAGCCUGGAAUUGAAUUUGGGCUUUUAUUGCGCAGUCUAGGUGGGAGGCUAUGAAAAUUCUUUUUCGGGGGAAUUGGAGUCAUCAGUGAGAGACCACUCGAUACAAGCUAAAAUCCUAAUGGCGAUCCUUGAAUCAGGACGCUUGACAGUUUCAGGUGGGCAGUUUGACUGGGGCGGUCGUCUCCUAAAAGGUAACGGAGAUGUGCAAAGGUUCCCUCAGGCUGGACGGAAAUCAGCUAAAGAGUGUAAAGGCAUAAGGGAGCUUGACUGCAAGACCUACAACUCGAGCAGGGGCGAAAGCCGGCCUUAGUGAUCCGACGGUACCGAGUGGAAGGGCCGUCGCUCAACGGAUAAAAGUUACUCUAGGGAUAACAGGCUGAUCUUCCCCAAGAGUUCACAUCGACGGGAAGGUUUGGCACCUCGAUGUCGGCUCAUCGCAACCUGGGGCGGUAGUACGUCCCAAGGGUUGGGCUGUUCGCCCAUGAAAGCGGUACGUGAGCUGGGUUCAGAACGU
rnacentral:rRNA from 1 species